CAUAAAGCCCAUAACAAAAAAAAAAAAAAGACUUACAGAAAGCUAAAACUAAAAAAUGGCAAAAAACAUUAUGGUUGUUUUCUUUAUGUGCAUUGUUGUGAUGGGAUCACUACAAUUCUCCAAGGCACAGACGACCGCUAACAUGAGCCCAGAUCUUCAGGCGGCCGAAAAGAUCAAAAGUAUCGCCGAAGGAAUGAAACUAUGGCCUCAAAUGGAAUCAUGUGUACUAACAUGCAGGAAAGAAUGUGAUGCAAAAGGCAAUGCCAAUGCUUCAUGUCAUCAGAAAUGCAACAAUGAUUGCACGGAAAAGACUAUUGCAUCAGUCAAGAACUAACUUCCCAUUGAUAAUUGACCAUGGAAUUAUUAAAGCAGAGAUCGGGAAAAUGAUCGGAUCAAGUAUAAAUUAUUUGAAUAAUUAGCAUUUCAACAAGGAAAAUCUAAAUUCCUUGACCCUCUUGUCGUCCAAUUUUAUUGCUUAUUUAUACAAAGGUUUUAUCCUUACAUAUCGUUGUGUGCUUCUUUCAUAAUUGUUGUCAACAACGAGAUCAAUAAAAUUCAUUUAGUUUAAGUGUUUAUUCA